rfam:Xiphophorus maculatus strain JP 163 A Contig4992.1, whole genome shotgun sequence.
CAGGUUAUCAGAGUUAGUGGAGGAUUUAGUGGAUGAACGAGAUUCCCACUGUCCCUAACUCCCAUCCAGCGAAACCACAGCCAAGGGAACGGGCUUGGCAGAAUCAGCGGGGAAAGAAGACCCUGUUGAGCUUGACUCUAGUCUGGCAUUGUGAAGAGACAUGAGAGGUGUAGGAUAAGUGGGAGGCUCCGGCCGCCGGUGAAAGCCACUACUCUUAUGUUGUGGUUAUGUAGUGGUAGUCGUCAGGUCCAGCAUCGUCAGUGCUCGACCUGACGAUGUGGCCUGUGAUGUCUGCACUGGGAGGAAGAUGAAAGCUGUCAAGUCCUGUCUGGUCUGUUUGGUUUCUUAUUGUGAGAAUCACCUCAAAUCUCACUAUGAUGUCCCUGGACUGAAGAAACACAUGUUGGUGAAUCCCUCUAAGAAUCUUCAAAAGAACAUCUGCUCUCGUCAUGAUGAGGUGAUGAAGAUCUUCUGUCGUACCAAUCAACAGU